UCGAGGCUCCGCCCCCUAACAUUUCCCCGGGCUCCUCCCCACAGUCUAUCAGGUCAACCCACCGAAGACGUUAAGGUCCACCUAAAGGCCCCCACCACUGAAUACGGCUUCGCUGGAGACCACGCCGUCAACACAUAAGCCCACGAAGGUCGUUUCCAACCCCAGCCAUAACAACCUUCUAAGAUCACCAGCAAACAACGCAUAUCGCGCACCCAACAAGAGCAGCUAGGCUUUGCUCUCGUGGCCCAUUCCAGGAGGCCGCAGCUGAGAGAAGCUACCGUCUGCACGUAGCUCAGCAGGAUGACCGGGAGACAGAAAGAUAGGCUCUGGUCUGUUUCUACCCGUGAUUCUUGAGCAAAACAAAUCACAGGGCCAUACCGAAUGGGAAAUCUAUAGCAACAUGAAACCCACCCACCGCAGGCCUGGGAAGGGGAGGAGAGGAAAUACUAACGAGAAGACAGCAGGGUUUCCUGACCCAUGCAGCAGUGCUGACUUCCUCGUGUGUCUGUGGGAAAGAGUACAAGAAUCAAUGAACACAAGUUCUCCAAACAGCACACAUUAAUUCCUCAGUAAGUAAGUGUGUUCUGAGCACAGUAGGGGUCGAUUUUUUUUGUCUCAACACAUGUGUUAUUUACUCGACUCAUGGCUACGACAAAAACAACCUAAAGAAAGAAGGGCUCACUUUGAUUCGGUUCGAGCAUCUUGGCCAGUACAUCAAGGUCCCCUGAUAAAAGUCUGCUGAUUCGCCUCAAGUCCUCUCCUCUGCUUCUUCCUCCCUUCGGCUCCAUCUCACUCCCAUGUCGCAGCACCUGCUUAUCCUGAGCUGAGCAUCCUGGGUGUAGAACCUUUACCUACACCACCACGACUGCCUUAUUACAACAAGCUCAGCCCCUGCUGCCGUAGCCCCAUCGUCCUAACUUUAAGAACAGAUCCAUCAAGCCCCUUACCCACGACUACAGUGGUUUUCUGUACCUGGAUGUACUCCCGUGCCGAACAGGAUCAGAGGCCGCCCCAAAUUCGCUACUUUGGCAUGUUGAUUCCUCUGAGCUGAAGACAACUGAGACAUAGCAGAGGUAGGAAGACUUCUCUGCUCUCUCCCUUUCUGCAGAAAUCCCUAGUGUCUCUCCGCAUUUCUCCUGUCCCGGGAUGAAGAGCUGCUUCAUAUCUGGGGAUGUCACCAACCUGAACCUGCACACACAGGUGUCACUGAAACAACGCUUAGCCUUCAUUGGGCACCCUCCGCGUGCUUACCUUCCCACAACUUACCUCUAAAAGUCCAGCCUCUUUCCUUUGUCUCAUAAGUUCUCCACAGCUGUAUUGCUAUUUACUAAAAUAGUACAAACUCUCA